rnacentral:rRNA from 1 species
AGAGUUUGAUCCUGGCUCAGAUUGAACGCUGGCGGCAUGCCUUACACAUGCAAGUCGAACGGUAACGCGGGGCAACCUGGCGACGAGUGGCGAACGGGUGAGUAACGCAUCGGAACGUGCCCAGUAGUGGGGGAUAGCCCGGCGAAAGCCGGAUUAAUACCGCAUACGACCUACGGGUGAAAGCGGGGGACCGUAAGGCCUCGCGCUAUUGGAGCGGCCGAUGUCAGAUUAGGUAGUUGGUGGGGUAAAAGCCUACCAAGCCGACGAUCUGUAGCUGGUCUGAGAGGACGACCAGCCACACUGGGACUGAGACACGGCCCAGACUCCUACGGGAGGCAGCAGUGGGAAAUUUUGGACAAUGGGCGCAAGCCUGAUCCAGCCAUGCCGCGUGCGGGAUGAAGGCCUUCGGGUUGUAAACCGCUUUUGUCAGGGAAGAAACGCUCCGGGCCAAUACCCUGNGGUAAUGACGGUACCUGAAGAAUAAGCACCGGCUAACUACGUGCCAGCAGCCGCGGUAAUACGUAGGGUGCAAGCGUUAAUCGGAAUUACUGGGCGUAAAGCGUGCGC